CUCGUAGGCGGUUUGACAAGUCGGACGUGAAAACCCGGGGCUCAACCCCGUGACGCCGUUCGAAACUGUCAUGACUAGGGUCCGGUAGAGGUGAGUGGAAUUCUCGGUGUAGCGGUGGAAUGCGCAGAUAUCGAGAGGAACACCAGUAGCGAAGGCGGCUCACUGGGCCGGUACCGACGCUGAGGAGCGAAAGCGUGGGGAGCAAACA
rnacentral:rRNA from 1 species